rnacentral:rRNA from 1 species
AUUGAACGCUGGCGGGAUGCCUUACACAUGCAAGUCGAACGGUAACAGGUUAAGCUGACGAGUGGCGAACGGGUGAGUAAUAUAUCGGAACGUGCCCAGUCGUGGGGGAUAACGUAGCGAAAGCUACGCUAAUACCGCAUACGAUCUACGGAUGAAAGCGGGGGAUCGCAAGACCUCGCGCGAUUGGAGCGGCCGAUACCAGAUUAGGUUGUUGGUGAGGUAAAAGCUCACCAAGCCUGCGAUCUGUAGCUGGUCUGAGAGGACGACCAGCCACACUGGAACUGAGACACGGUCCAGACUCCUACGGGAGGCAGCAGUGGGGAAUUUUGGACAAUGGACGCAAGUCUGAUCCAGCAAUGCCGCGUGCAGGACGAAGGCCUUCGGGUUGUAAACUGCUUUUGUACGGAACGAAACGGUGAGCUCUAAUACAGUUUGCUAAUGACGGUACCGUAAGAAUAAGCACCGGCUAACUACGUGCCAGCCGCCGCCGUAA